CCUACGGGUGGCAGCAGUGAGGAAUAUUGGUCAAUGGACGAGAGUCUGAACCAGCCAAGUAGCGUGAAGGAUGACUGCCCUAUGGGUUGUAAACUUCUUUUAUAUGGGAAUAAAAUGUUCCAAGUGUGGGAUUUUGUAUGUACCAUAUGAAUAAGGAUCGGCUAACUCCGUGCCAGCAGCCGCGGUAAUACGGAGGAUCCGAGCGUUAUCCGGAUUUAUUGGGUUUACAGGGAGCGUAGGUUGAUUGUUAAGUCAGUUGUGAAAGUUUGCGGCUCAACCGUAAAAUUGCAGUUGAAACUGGCAGUCUUGAGUACAGUAGAGGUGGGCGGAAUUCGUGGUGUAGCGGUGAAAUGCUUAGAUAUCACGAAGAACUCCGAUUGCGAAGGCAGUUCACUGGACUGCAACUGACACUGAGGCUCGAAAGUGUGGGUAUCAAACAGGAUUAGAUACCCUAGUAGUC
rnacentral:rRNA from 1 species